rnacentral:ncRNA from 1 species
CCUUAUCAAGAGCAGCGGAGGAACAGGUCCUGUGAAGCUGCGGCAACCGUUCGGUCAGCCGAAAAUGGUGCCAAUUCCUGCGCCGAAAGGCGGAAGAUGAGG